rnacentral:misc_RNA from 1 species
GAUGAAGAACGAAGCGAAAUGCGAUACGUAAUGUGAAUUGCAGAUUUCAGUGAAUCAUCGAAUCUUUGAACGCACAUUGCGCCCGCCAGUAUUCUGGCGGGCAUGCCUGUUCGAGCGUCAUUUCAACCAUCAAGCCUUCGCUUGUGUUGGGGCCCCGCGGCUGCCGCGGUCCCCUAAAUCCAGUGGCGGGCUCGUCGUCGUACCGAGCGCAGUAGACAUCCUCGCUCCGGGAACCCGACGGGUGCCGGCCGUGAAACCCCCCACAUCAAGGUUGACCUCGGAUCAGGGAGGAAUACCCGCUGAACUUAAGCAUAUCAAUAAGCGGAGGA